AUCGAUGUACUAAUAAAAAAAAUCACUUGUAUAAAAAAAAAAAAAAAAUACUUGCGUCACAGGACUUAAUAUUUAGCUCGUGACUCAGUCCUGUAAUCUCUACGUAAUGGGUAAUGUCAGCACUUGGACUAAACACUAAUAAAUCCAAAAUCCAGGGGCAGCAACCUGCAAUUGCAUAUAAAAACCAGAUCAGCUAAAGCAACAGAUGGAAGUAUCGAUCAAGAAAUCAAAGCUGCCUAGUCACAUUGUGCAAAUCAAAACAAUACCGGGAGCGAAUUUUAUUCAGGAAAUGGAUUCCGAGCACGUAAAACAAAUUUCAGAGUGCUUUGUCCAGCCACACCAUGCUCCUCAAGAGUCAAAGCAGCCCUUCUACUUGGCACCUGGUGAUCUUGCCAUGCUCUCGGUACACUAUAUCC
rnacentral:lncRNA from 1 species